rnacentral:rRNA from 1 species
UACGGGGGGGGGCAAGCGUUGUUCGGAAUUACUGGGCGUAAAGGGCUGGUAGGCGGCCAACUAAGUCGGAUGUGAAAUCCCCAGGCUUAACCUGGGAACUGCAUCCGAUACUGGUCGGCUUGAAUCCGGGAGAGGGAUGCAGAAUUCCAGGUGUAGCGGUGAAAUGCGUAGAUAUCCGGAGGAACACCAGCGGCGAAGGCGGCAUCCUGGACUGGUCCUGACACUCAGGAGCGAAAGCGUGGGGAGCGAUCCGG